AAAUUUGAAAUCUGGUAGCCUUCGGCUGCCCGAGUUGUAAUCUAGAGAAGUGUUUUCCGUGCCGGCCCAUGUACAAGUCCCUUGGAACAGGGCGUCAUAGAGGGUGAGAAUCCCGUCCUUGACAUGGACCCCCGGUGCUUUGUGAUACACUUUCAACGAGUCGAGUUGUUUGGGAAUGCAGCUCAAAAUGGGUGGUGAAUUCCAUCUAAAGCUAAAUAUUGGCGAGAGACCGAUAGCGAACAAGUACCGUGAGGGAAAGAUGAAAAGCACUUUGGAAAGAGAGUUAAACAGUACGUGAAAUUGUUGAAAGGGAAACGAUUGAAGUCAGUCAUGCUCUUUGGAUUCAGCCGUUCUGCGGUGUAUUUCCAUUGAGUGGGGUCAACAUCAGUUUUGACCGCUGGAUAAAGGCACUAGGAAGGUAGCACUCUCGGGUGAACUUAUAGCCUAGCGUCAUAUACAGUGGUUGGGACUGAGGAACGCAGCAUGCCUUUAUGGCCGGGAUUCGUCCACGUACAUGCUUAGGAUGUUGACAUAAUGGCUUUAAACGACCCGUCUUGA
rnacentral:rRNA from 1 species